GAUCUUGUGGCUCCCGUCCCGAGCUGUCCCAAACCAUCCCUCAGCUUCUCGCGCCGUCCCUUCUGACCCGUCGCCGACAGUCCUGGCCCCUUGGGCCCUGCGGCUGCCGAGCUUGCGGAGAGAUGGGACCUCGGCCUCGGACGGCUGAGCGGGCUCUGCGUCCGCCGGCGCCCCCUGCUCUGCUGCGGGGCCCUGACCCGCGCUGCCCGACGCGCCCUCCGUGUCCAGCGGCUGAGGCUGUGCCCUGGCUCAGCGCCUGGCAGGGGUCCAGUGUUCACCAGUUGUGAACAAAUGCACAACAAGAGAGAAGAAAAGGAGAGACACAUCCUUGUAAGGUGGUAUGGCCUCAUCACGUUGUGGAAGAUCAGAGAAAGACUACGUGGGAGCCAACCAGGGGGAGAGGGGGCAGCUCGGCGCAGAGGGGCCCUUGAGAGGUGUCUCCAUCCUGUCAGGAAGCAGCUGGACCACAGUGCUCCCAAGAGGUGUCCACCCUUUCCUCUCCUGUCUGGGCCAAGUUGAAGGAAUUUUUCUGCAGGAUUGAAGCAAUUACGCGGUCCUGUGCUCAACUAUGCUGACUCCUCCAGGCCUCUGCCACUGGCCUCCUUUUUCAGCAAGCCCUCUGUCCUUUUCUGCCUCUGCAUUUGGAAGUGAUCACAGCUGCCCGUGUCCUGCUCAUUGGUAGUGCAGACAGAGGAAACGUGGAGAGGAUUGUCCCAUGUUGGAGGGUCCACAUCCUCCCCUUCCAGUUCUGGGAGCUUUUCCACAUUCCUACUUCUCUUCUACACACACCUUGGGCCUCCAGGGCCUUAAGGGCUGUCAUGUGUGUGUCGGUGUCAUUGCUGGGGCUUUCACUUCCUGCCCCUGCUGUUGGGAACCAGGCUAUGUGUGUUGCUUAAGUUCCGCUUCAUGCCCAGCUCGGUUGCUGUGAGUCAGCCAUGGCACACUCCCAUAAACCCGGCCUUGGCAUCCUUUUCAGCCUAUCGCUGAUUAAUUACACGUUAAUCAGUGUUGCCCACCCUGCCGUAGGCCAUCCACUGUCUCCCUCUUUAACUCUUUAGAGUUAACUACUAUCCCUUUUUAUGAGAAAAUAAUGUAUCUGUUUAGGAAGUAAUAACAGCAGGCAUUUGUGGACUGUUUACUAUCUGGUAACUACUGUGCUCAGCUCUUUCCUGAUGCCGACCAUGCCCUGUUGUGAGCAGGGACAAGUGAGGUGCUCAUUCAUGGCUUCUUUCUGUUUCAGAUGAGUCCACUGUGUGCCAAGGUGGUCAUGGGAGUUAUCAUGUCAGGAACAUUCUAGACCCCAGCGUCCUUGAGGGGUGCUGCUGUAGAUCUGGAGCUCGUUGGAGGAAUCCUCAAGGGGUUGGACGCAUCGGCCCUCUCAGGAUGCUUACCUGGGUCCCAGUUCUCCUGGAGAGGCCUCCUCGUGAUUAUUUUGGAGUUCAUCACAGACACUGGUGUAGCAGAGUGAAGAGUGAUGUUGCCACAUGACACCUCGCCAGACCUUCUAACCCUGUUGUAUCAGCAAAACAUAGGAGGACUUUUCCCUCAGAGUGAGUGGAUACAUGAGGCUUAUGUCCAGAGCUGGCUCUGCCCUUCCCCAGCAGUGUCGCAGAGCGUCAUGGACCAAGAAGACUGGUUUCCUUUCAUCUGGGCCUGGUCAUCCAGUGGCCUCCAUGUCCCCCUGUCCUCCAGUGUAACUUUUUAGAGCCAAGAGUUUUCUGUGCUUUGUAUCCUUGUCCUCUCACCCACCAAAUAAAUCUUGA